rnacentral:rRNA from 1 species
UACGGAGGGUGCAAACGUUGCUCGGAAUCAUUGGGCGUAAAGAGCUCGUAGGCGGACCGUUGCGUCUGCCGUGAAAACCCGAGGCUUAACCUCGGGCCUGCGGUGGAUACGGGCGGACUAGAGGUAGGUAGGGGAGAAUGGAAUUCCCGGUGUAGCGGUGAAAUGCGCAGAUAUCGGGAGGAACACCGGUGGCGAAGGCGGUUCUCUGGGCCGAUACUGACGCUGAGGUGCGAAAGCGUGGGGAGCAAACAGG